rnacentral:rRNA from 1 species
GACGAACGCUGGCGGCGUGCUUAACACAUGCAAGUCGAACGGUAAGGCCCUUCGGGGUACACGAGUGGCGAACGGGUGAGUAACACGUGGGUGAUCUGCCCUGCACUUCGGGAUAAGCCUGGGAAACUGGGUCUAAUACCGGAUAGGACUCCUGGCUUCAUGGUUGGGGGUGGAAAGCUUUUGCGGUGUGGGAUGGGCCCGCGGCCUAUCAGCUUGUUGGUGGGGUAAUGGCCUACCAAGGCGACGACGGGUAGCCGGCCUGGGAGGGUGACCGGUCACACUGGGACUGCGGUACGGCCCAGACGCCUACGGGAGGCAGCAGUGGGGAAUAUUGCACAAUGGGCGGAAGCCUGAUGCAGCGACGCCGCGUGAGGGAUGACGGCCUUCGGGUUGUAAACCUCUUUCAGCUAUGACGAAGCGCAAGUGACGGUAGUAGCAGAAGAAGGACCGGCCAACUACGUGCCAGCCGCCGCCGUAA